UUAAUUCACUGCUGUAUUUGUAGAGCAAUAUGGGAGGUUAGAAUGGAUCAUCAUAGGGGCUCAGGGUCGAAGGGAGAGGAAAAGAAGGAAUUCAGUCUUUUAACCUGCAAGAAAACUCACUCAUGCAGACAGAAGUCCAACAGCAAACAGCACACCAGGGUUGCGACUGAAAUGAAGAGCAGUUGAUCAUUAUUCACGCUGUAUGAAAAUGAUACGACCUAAAAGUUUAACUGAGUAGUACAGUAUUUUGAAGACUACAGGUUUCUCCAUGGAGCAGCACAGAGGGUGAACAAAGGCAGGAAAAGCUGUUCAAUACACAAGAAAAUAACACACACACUGUCUCCGCGGUAUCUCACAGAAGACAUAACUUCCUAAACCCACCCACAUCUGCACAGGAACAAAAUU
rnacentral:lncRNA from 1 species